UACGUAGGGUGCAAGCGUUAAUCGGAAUUACUGGGCGUAAAGCGCACGUAGGCGGCUUGGUAUGUCGGGUGUGAAAUCCCCGGGCUCAACCCGGGAACUGCAUCCGAAACUGCCUUGCUAGAGUAUGGGAGAGGGAAGUGGAAUUUCCGGUGUAGCGGUGAAAUGCGUAGAUAUCGGAAGGAACAUCAGUGGCGAAGGCGACUUCCUGGACCAAUACUGACGCUCAGGUGCGAAAGCGUGGGGAGCAAACAGG
rnacentral:rRNA from 1 species